UACGAAGGGGGCUAGCGUUGCUCGGAAUUACUGGGCGUAAAGCGCACGUAGGCGGCUCUUUAAGUCGGGGGUGAAAUCCCGGGGCUCCGAACCCCGGAACUGCCUUUGAUACUGGUAGUCUCGAGUCCGGAAGAGGUGAGUGGAAUUCCGGAGUGUAGAGGUGAAAUUCGUAGAUAUUCGGAGGAACACCAGUGGCGAAGGCGGCUCACUGGUCCGGUACUGACGCUGAGGUGCGAAAGCGUGGGGAGCAAACAGGG
rnacentral:rRNA from 1 species